AGUGGCGAACGGGUGAGUAAUACAUAAGCAACUACCCACGAAGACUGGGAUAAUCUCUGAAACGGGGACUAAUACCGGAUAGGUAAUCGGAAGGCAUCUUCUGGUUAUUAAAGGUUAAAAAACACUGGUGGAUGGGCUUAUGGCGCAUUAGUUAGUUGGUGAGGUAACGGCCCACCAAGACGAUGAUGCGUAGCCGGCCUGAGAGGGUGAACGGCCACAUUGGGACUGAGACACGGCCCAG
rnacentral:rRNA from 1 species